UUGCACAAUGGGCGAAAGCCUGAUGCAGCAACGCCGCGUGAGUGAUGAAGGCCUUCGGGUUGUAAAGCUCUGUCUUCUGGGACGAUAAUGACGGUACCAGAGGAGGAAGCCACGGCUAACUACGUGCCAGCAGCCGCGGUAAUACGUAGGUGGCAAGCGUUGUCCGGAUUUACUGGGCGUAAAGGAUGCGUAGGCGGAUACUUAAGUCAGAUGUGAAAAUCCCGGGCUUAACUUGGGAACUGCAUUUGAAACUGGGUAUCUAGAGUGCGGGAGAGGAAAGUGGAAUUCCUAGUGUAGCGGUGAAAUGCGUAGAGAUUAGGAAGAACACCAGUGUCGAAGGCGACUCUCUGGACCGUAGCUGACGCUGAGGCAUGAAAGCGUGGGGAGCAAACA
rnacentral:rRNA from 1 species